rnacentral:rRNA from 1 species
CAGUCGCCGCGGUAAUACGUAGGUGGCAAGCGUUGUCCGGAAUUAUUGGGCGUAAAGGGCUCGCAGGCGGUUUCUUAAGUCUGAUGUGAAAGCCCCCGGCUCAACCGGGGAGGGUCAUUGGAAACUGGGAAACUUGAGUGCAGAAGAGGAGAGUGGAAUUCCACGUGUAACGGUGAAAUGCGUAGAGAUGUGGAGGAACACCAGUGGCGAAGGCGACUCUCUGGUCUGUAACUGACGCUGAGGAGCGAAAGCGUGGGGAGCGAACAGGAUUAGAUACCCCUGUAGUCCCUGUCUCUUAUAC